rnacentral:rRNA from 1 species
GAUGAACGCUGGCGGCGUGCUUAACACACGCAAGUCGAACGAAGAGAAUUCGAGUGAAGCUUCGGCGGAACGAAAAUUUUCUUAGUGGCGGACGGGUGAGUAACGUGUGGGCAACCUGCCCUUUACUGGGGAAUAAUCAUUGGAAACGACGACUAAUACCGCAUGUCAUCAUUAGGAGGCAUCUCCUGAUGAAAAAAGGAUUUAUUCGGUAAAGGAUGGGCCCGCAUCUGAUUAGCUAGUUGGUGAGAUAACAGCCCACCAAGGCAACGAUCAGUAGCCGACCUGAGAGGGUGAUCGGCCACAUUGGGACUGAGACACGGCCCAA